AAAUAAGAAUUAGAAACGAAUUAGAACUGUGUCAGUUCCUAUGGGGGCUGUCUAGAGGAAAGCAACUGCUAUGCCAUUUCUGUCAAGGGCCAAUCGCUGGAAACUUCGAAGGAGAGACCCCACUUCUGAGGCAGACCUGAGUGGGGUACAGUUGACUGUCCAGUUGUAGAUUGGCUGUCACUUGACUCGGUACUUGUGGUCCUCGAGAUCUGCUUGGGAUGUGGCCCUGGGACCCUGGAAAGGCGGAUCCCGUACUCCCCGCUGGCUGCUGGGCUCAGGCCCAUCCCGCUAUGGCCAGCAGGGGCGACGCGCCUGCAGAGAGGCGCGGACCAGGGCCCCGGGAUCAUGGGCGCCGGAGCCAGCGGGGUUAAAACCGGAGUCUCCAGAUGUUGUGAACUGACUCCCAGGUGAAGAAGAGUCCUUUUCUUGUUCUGGGUAAUGGAUUCCUAGGGUGUUUUGAGAUCAUCCAAAACCCUCCCAGAAGAGACAACUGUAUGAAGACGAGGCUGGCGGCCAACCCAGAACAGAGGCCACCAACCAAACCAGACAACACUUUCAUCUUGAACUUCCAGAACAGAGACAAAAUAGAGUUCUGUUGUUUACACCCCCCA